UGGGCCCGUAGCUCAGAGGUAGAGCGCCCGGCUGUUAACCGGAAGGUCGUGGGUUCGAAUCCCACCGGGCCCGA
rnacentral:tRNA from 1 species